rnacentral:rRNA from 1 species
UACGAAGGGGGCUAGCGUUGCUCGGAAUUACUGGGCGUAAAGCGCACGUAGGCGGCUUUCUAAGUCGGGGGUGAAAUCCUGGAGCUCAACUCCAGAACUGCCUUCGAUACUGGAGAGCUCGAGUCCGGGAGAGGUGAGUGGAACUGCGAGUGUAGAGGUGAAAUUCGUAGAUAUUCGCAAGAACACCAGUGGCGAAGGCGGCUGACUGGACCAUUACUGACGCUGAGGCGCGAAAGCGUGGGGAGCAAACAGGGAUAGAAA